UGAGGAAUAUUGCGCAAUGGACGAAAGUCUGACGCAGCCAUGCCGCGUGCAGGAUGACGGCGCUACGCGUUGUAAACUGCUUUUAUUUACAAAGAAACCUCGGGACGUGUCCCGAGCUGACGGUAGUAUUUGAAUAAGCACCGGCUAACUCCGUGCCAGCAGCCGCGGUAAUACGGAGGGUGCAAGCGUUAUCCGGAUUUAUUGGGUUUAAAGGGUCCGUAGGCGGAUGAUUAAGUCAGUGGUGAAAGCCCACAGCUCAACUGUGGAACUGCCAUUGAUACUGAUCAUCUUGAGUACAUUUGAAGUUGGCGGAAUAGGUCAUGUAGCGGUGAAAUGCUUAGAUAUGACCUAGAACACCGAUUGCGAAGGCAGCCAACUAAGCUGUAACUGACGCUGAGGGACGAAAGCGUGGGGAGCGAACAGG
rnacentral:rRNA from 1 species